rnacentral:misc_RNA from 1 species
GGAUGAAGAACGUAGUGAAAUGCGAUAAGUAAUGCGAAUUGCAGAAUUUCCGUGAGUCAUCGAAUCUUUGAACGCACAUUGCGCCCACUGGUAUUCCGGUGGGCAUGCCUGUUCGAGCGUCAUUAUCCUCCCUCAAACCUCGGGUUUGGUGUUGGACCCAAGUUGUGUGAACAACUGGUCUUAAAGACAAUGACGGCGUCCGUGGGACCCUCGGUGCAACGAGCUUUUAGGAGCACGCGUCGAGUUUCAAGGACCUUCCGGGCCGGUCUCCUUUACCAUUUUACAAGGUUGACCUCGGAUCAGGUAGGAAUACCCGCUGAACUUAAGCAUAUCAAUAAGCGGAGGA